UCCCCUUCAUGUAUGUAUAGCUUGAGUCCUUAACGAAGGAACACCUGCUCCUUGAAGAACUCUAUCACCAACAAAAACUCUCACUAUCGACUCUUCGUAGAGAAAAUGUACGCACACAACAAACUAAAGAACUGAAUGAAUCACUGGUCAGAGAGAAAGAAGGUGCAAGUAAUUCAGUGUCUGUCCUAAGAAGAGAAGUAGCAAAGCUUCAGAUGCUAUUGAAGGAUAGAGAGACUGACAUUAAGAACAAGGAAGGACAGAUAGCAACUUUGAAGGAAAGCCUCUGGAAAGCACAAGAGAAAUAUGUA